CCAUUGCAGUUUUUCUAAGAAUGCUUUACCUAAUGGCCUUUGCCAAAGAUAAUCUUGGUGGGAUUGACAAUCUGGUGAUUUGCUCAUGGGACCCAGCACUGUGGCUUGCUUGCUCCAUCCUAUUUAAUUCUAUGGUGAUGUCUAGAAAGCUUCAUCAACUCCUGCUGACUCAGUCACCUCUUCCAAAUUUUCGAGCUGAUGUCCAGAUGGCAGGAUAUGCUUGCAUUUUAACAGGAGAUGAAGUCAUAAAUCAAAGAAAUGAAGCUCUGAUUUUUGAAUUCCAAGCAUCAAUAAGGCCAGUGGAGGUAGAAUUUGUUUUGGCAGGGAGGUGGGAUGUAGAGAAGUGAUAUCAAACUUUCUCUUUGCCUAGUCUACCUACCAUACGGUCUGCUUCUUUGUAUUUAGAGGUGUAGCGGGGGAGAGCAGAAGGUAAGGGAAAAGGAAAGAAAAACAAG
rnacentral:lncRNA from 1 species